rnacentral:rRNA from 1 species
UACAGAGGUCUCAAGCGUUGUUCGGAUUCAUUGGGCGUAAAGGGUGCGUAGGCGGCGCGGUAAGUCGGGUGUGAAAUUUCGAGGCUUAACUUCGAAACUGCAUUCGAUACUGCCGUGCUAGAGGACUGGAGAGGAGACUGGAAUUUACGGUGUAGCGGUGAAAUGCGUAGAUAUCAGGAAGAACACCGGUGGCGAAAGCGCUCUGCUAGGCCGCAACUGACACUGAGGUACGAAAGCUAGGGGAGCGAAUGGG